ACUUCCAGGAAGUUCAGACGACUUCUAGGAAGUCCAGACGACUUUCAGGAAGUCCAGACUUUUGAAAUGGAAGUCGUCUGGAAGACUUCCUAGAAGUCAUCUAGUGCAUUAUAUUUUAGACGACUAACAUGUAAGUCGUCCCAGAAGUCUUACAGAUCUGAAAAACCUGCAUAUCAAAUCCAGAUCUAAAAAAACUGCAUAUUCAAAAAUGUUCAAAUGGCUUAAAAACAGAAAAAUGAGUGGAAGAUUAGAUAAAUCUCAUUUAUAGAACACACAAAAAUACAUAUCUAAAAUUAAUAGAUCUACCUUUAAAUGAGUGGAAAAUGAGUAUCAUCUGAUUAAAAACCUACAAAAAGAUAGAUUAGUAAGAAAGACAUGAGACAAAACUGAAAAAUUCAUAUAAAGUUUGGUGUUUUCAAGUCAAAGAGAUUAGAGUAGGUUUGAAGAGUUUUAGUUUUGGGAAAAAAAUAAGAACUUUAUAUAACAAGAAGUUACCAAAUGAAGAACAAUCAGACAUAAAAACUUACCAAAACGCUUAGAUCUAUUAUGAAGCAAAAUAAAUGCAAAUAAUUUCUCAAUAAUUUAUAAACAUAAAAUUAUACAAAUUUAAGAAGCAUAAUAUCUAAGUGUGAUAAAAUAAUUACUUGUCAAUUAAAAAAUAAUAAAUAUAUAAACAUUAUUAAAAUUGAAAAUAUUAAAUAAUAUAUAAUAUUAUUUUGGUGUAAUAUUUGGUGUUUUGGUUAGAGAUGACAAAACAAAAAUGACAU